CUACACAUGCAGUCGAGCGGAUGANGGGAGCUUGCUCCUUGAUUCAGCGGCGGACGGGUGAGUAAUGCCUAGGAAUCUGCCUGGUAGUGGGGGACAACGUUUCGAAAGGAACGCUAAUACCGCAUACGUCCUACGGGAGAAAGCAGGGGACCUUCGGGCCUUGCGCUAUCAGAUGAGCCUAGGUCGGAUUAGCUAGUUGGUGGGGUAAUGGCUCACCAAGGCGACGAUCCGUAACUGGUCUGAGAGGAUGAUCAGUCACACUGGAACUGAGACACGGUCCAGACUCCUACGGGAGGCAGCAGUGGGGAAUAUUGGACAAUGGGCGAAAGCCUGAUCCAGCCAUGCCGCGUGUGUGAAGAAGGUCUUCGGAUUGUAAAGCACUUUAAGUUGGGAGGAAGGGCAGUAAGUUAAUACCUUGCUGUUUUGACGUUACCGACAGAAUAAGCACCGGCUAACUCUGUGCCAGCAGCCGCGGUAAUACAGAGGGUGCAAGCGUUAAUCGGAAUUACUGGGCGUAAAGCGCGCGUAGGUGGUUUGUUAAGUUGGAUGUGAAGCCCCGGGCUCACCUGGGACU
rnacentral:rRNA from 1 species